rnacentral:rRNA from 1 species
GUGAACCAGCGGAANGAUCAUUA